AAGAAGAACAUAUCUGAGAGUAACUGUUCAGGUAUUGACGGUAUUUAACCAGAAAGCCACGGCUAACUACGUGCCAGCAGCCGCGGUAAUACGUAGGUGGCAAGCGUUGUCCGGAUUUAUUGGGCGUAAAGCGAGCGCAGGCGGUUUUUUAAGUCUGAUGUGAAAGCCUUCGGCUCAACCGAAGAAGUGCAUCGGAAACUGGGAAACUUGAGUGCAGAAGAGGACAGUGGAACUCCAUGUGUAGCGGUGAAAUGCGUAGAUAUAUGGAAGAACACCAGUGGCGAAGGCGGCUGUCUGGUCUGUAACUGACGCUGAGGCUCGAAAGUAUGGGUAGCAAACAGGAUUAGAUACCCUGGUAGUCCAUACCGUAAACGAUGAAUGCUAAGUGUUGGAGGGUUUCCGCCCUUCAGUGCUGCAGCUAACGCAUUAAGCAUUCCGCCUGGGGAGUACGGCCGCAAGGCUGAAACUCAAAGGAAUUGACGGGGGCCCGCACAAGCGGUGGAGCAUGUGGUUUAAUUCGAAGCUACGCGAAGAACCUUACCAGGUCUUGACAUACUAUGCAAAUCUAAGAGAUUAGACGUUCCCUUCGGGGACAUGGAUACAGGUGGUGCAUGGUUGUCGUCAGCUCGUGUCGUGAGAUGUUGGGUUAAGUCCCGCAACGAGCGCAACCCUUAUUAUCAGUUGCCAGCAUUAAGUUGGGCACUCUGGUGAGACUGCCGGUGACAAACCGGAGGAAGGUGGGGAUGACGUCAAAUCAUCAUGCCCCUUAUGACCUGGGCUACACACGUGCUACAAUGGAUGGUACAACGAGUUGCGAACUCGCGAGAGUAAGCUAAUCUCUUAAAGCCAUUCUCAGUUCGGAUUGUAGGCUGCAACUCGCCUACAUGAAGUCGGAAUCGCUAGUAAUCGCGGAUCAGCAUGCCGCGGUGAAUACGUUCCCGGGCCUUGUACACACCGCCCGUCACACCAUGAGAGUUUGUAACACCCAAAGUCGGUGGGGUAACCUUUUAGGAACCAGCCGCCUAAGGUGGGACAGAUGAUUAGGGUGAAGUCGUAACAAGGU
rnacentral:rRNA from 1 species